rnacentral:tRNA from 1 species
GGAGGGCUCGCCUAGUGGCCGAUGGCGGCAGUCUUGAAAACUGCUAGGGGCUUUGCGGCUCCUCGUGGGUUCGAAUCCCACGCCCUCCG